rnacentral:rRNA from 1 species
UGGGGAAUCUUGCGCAAUGGGCGAAAGCCUGACGCAGCCAUGCCGCGUGAAUGAUGAAGGUCUUAGGAUUGUAAAAUUCUUUCACCGGGGACGAUAAUGACGGUACCCGGAGAAGAAGCCCCGGCUAACUUCGUGCCAGCAGCCGCGGUAAUACGAAGGGGGCUAGCGUUGCUCGGAAUUACUGGGCGUAAAGGGAGCGUAGGCGGACAUUUAAGUCAGGGGUGAAAUCCCGGGGCUCAACCUCGGAAUUGCCUUUGAUACUGGGUGUCUUGAGUGUGAGAGAGGUAUGUGGAACUCCGAGUGUAGAGGUGAAAUUCGUAGAUAUUCGGAAGAACACCAGUGGCGAAGGCGACAUACUGGCUCAUUACUGACGCUGAGGCUCGAAAGCGUGGGGAGCAAACAGGAUUAGAUACCCUGGUAGUCCACGCCGUAAACGAUGAUUGCUAGUUGUCGGGAUGCAUGCAUUUCGGUGACGCAGCUAACGCAUUAAGCAAUCCGCCUGGGGAGUACGGUCGCAAGAUUAAAACUUAAAUGAAUUGACGGGGUCAUAGCUGUUUCCUG